ACUCCUACGGGAGGCAGCAGUAGGGAAUCUUCCACAAUGGACGAAAGUCUGAUGGAGCAACGCCGCGUGAGUGAAGAAGGGUUUCGGCUCGUAAAACUCUGUUGUUAAAGAAGAACAUAUCUGAGAGUAACUGUCCAGGUAUUGACGGUAUUUAACCAGAAAGCCACGGCUAACUACGUGCCAGCAGCCGCGGUAAUACGUAGGUGGCAAGCGUUGUCCGGAUUCAUUGGGCGUAAAGCGAGCGCAGGCGGUUUUUUAAGUCUGAUGUGAAAGCCUUCGGCUCAACCGAAGAAGUGCAUCGGAAACUGGGAAACUUGAGUGCAGAAGAGGACAGUGGAACUCCAUGUGUAGCGGUGAAAUGCGUAGAUAUAUGGAAGAACACCAGUGGCGAAGGCGGCUGUCUGGUCUGUAACUGACGCUGAGGCUCGAAAGUAUGGGUAGCAAACAGGAUUAGAUACCCCUGGUAGGAUAGCG
rnacentral:rRNA from 1 species